UAACCUUAUCCAUGAUUUCAUUUUUCAAAAUUAGUACCACUACAAAAAUUUGUACCACUACCAAAAUUUGUACUACUACCAAUAUUCACAUUGAAAUUUUUGCCGAUGGUUUCUCUGGUUUAUCACGCGUGCUGUUCGACGCCGGUCCUUGAUAAAGGAAGAGUUUAAUUCUCACUUGGAACCAUACGCACCAGGAAACUGUGGUAGUCAGAUGUAUCUAUGUAAUCAAUAUCAUCCGUGUUCGACAGAUGCAUAUGAUCCAGGAGAUUCUGCUGCGAUAAAUUAAAUUGCUGAUAAGGCAAAUCCAGACUGUAGUAGAUUUCGGCUGAAUCGUUCCCGAUUAGCGUAGUCAGCUCUUUUUCAAGUUGAGCAAAUUCAGGUCGUUCUUCCGGUGCUGUUAUCCAACAGCUAAGCAUUAAGCUGUAGCUGCAAGUUUGCAACAGAAUGCAAAGUAGUAACUAUAGAGCAGGAGUUCAAUGCUUUUCUAGCUAUACUAGUAGUGCAAGUCUUUAAAAUUUUAAACGCUGCUUACAUCGACACUGGACAUGUUGCUGGUCGUUCCAUACGGGUGCCGUUGCGUAACGAUGAUAGGAAGUCCAGCAGAUUCGAGAUGUCAAGACUACUAUUUGCGUACGGCGUUUCUCCCAAACUGAAGAGUUCCCACAUCAGCACGCCAAAUGACCACACAUCCGACUUUUGAUUGAACAACCGCUGAAUUAUUGAUUCCGGCGACAUCCAGCGCACAGACUUGUCGAUACUCCGAUUGACGUUUCGGCUGACGGCCGGCUGGAGUCCUUUAAUAGCCGGCUAAAUCAACGCGGCUGGAAGUCUCAGCCGGCUAGAGCGGCUCACGAAAUUUCCCGGGGAAAUUCGUGAAACAGUGGGACGGCUUAGCCGGAGGCCGGCUAGUGAAAGUGUUCCUAAUAGUGUGAUUUGCGAACUUGAUUGCCGUCCGGCCAGAAAACGAUUUGCGUCCAUACAUUCUGCGGGUCCUCGCUCCGCACAACAGCGACACCCACCGCGGGCGCCCAACGAUCCACGCACGGAUUAUCGCGCAGGCAUGCAGAAUGUUGCAGCCACAGUGCCGACCGCAUCUGGCGUCCUUUGGAAACUUUUGCUCGCCAUUCGAUUUCGCCAAAACGAAAAUGAAACGCGUUUUUUGUAUUCACAUCCAGCUGAUUCCAUUCCGAUACAGGAGGUGAUCGAGUUGCAACAAUACUGAGCGAGCCAUUUUUCAGUGUGACAGUCCACGGUGAAACAGAAUGCUGUGUCUCAUCUAUGAUAUGAUAAGGUAUGAUUUUAUAAGGUAAGGUAUGAUUUUAUUGUCCAUUUCGAUGUGUCUAGAAUGGUACUGUUAAAGGAGUCGUGAAAAGUCAUUUGUCUAGCCCGCAUAGUUUUAAUGUGAUUAAUUAAUGUGAUCGAAAUGAUUAAUGUGAUCGAAAUGAUUAAUUAAUGUGAUUAAUUAAUGUGAUUAAUUAAUGUGCAUUCGAAAUUAAUGUGAUCGAAUAGACUGGCAAAAUCCAAAGCAGAAAUACCACGUGCUGGAAGAAUGUAUUCAUGCUUAGUAUAAUUCGUAUUAAAUUAUUAAUCAACCCUUAAUUCAUGAUUUCUGUUACGGUGGAUGAACAAUAAAACUGAGAAGC